rnacentral:rRNA from 1 species
UACAGAGGGGGCAAGCGUUGUUCGGAAUUACUGGGCGUAAAGGGCGCGUAGGCGGCCUGUUAAGUCAGACGUGAAAUCUCCCGGCUCAACUGGGAAACUGCAUCGGAAACUGAUCGGCUUGAAGAUGGGAGAGGGUAGUGGAAUUCCCGGUGUAGUGGUGAAAUGCGUGGAUAUCGGGAGGAACACCAGUGGCGAAGGCGACUACCUGGCCCAUUCUUGACGCUGAGGCGCGAAAGCUAGGGGAGCGAACGGG